rnacentral:rRNA from 1 species
GGGAGGGAUCCUUGUGGGUGCGAUCAUACCGGAUCCCGUCAGAGCUCCGCAGUUAAGUGUGCUAGGGCUAGAGUAGUACCGGGAUGGGUGACCUCCCGGGAAGUCCUAGUGUUGCACCGU